rnacentral:rRNA from 1 species
UUGAACGCUGGCGGCAGGCCUAACACCUGCAAGUCGAGCGGAUGAAGGGAGCUUGCUCCUGGAUUCAGCGGCGGACGGGUGAGUAAUGCCUAGGAAUCUGCCUGGUAGUGGGGGAUAACGUCCGGAAACGGGCGCUAAUACCGCAUACGUCCUGAGGGAGAAAGUGGGGGAUCCUCGGACCUCACGCUAUCAGAUGAGCCUAGGUCGGAUUAGCUAGUUGGUGGGGUAAAGGCCUACCAAGGCGACGAUCCGUAACUGGUCUGAGAGGAUGAUCAGUCACACUGGAACUGAGACACGGUCCAGACUCCUACGGGAGGCAGCAGUGGGGAAUAUUGGACAAUGGGCGAAAGCCUGAUCCAGCCAUGCCGCGUGUGUGAAGAAGGUCUUCGGAUUGUAAAGCACUUUAAGUUGGGAGGAAGGGCAGUAAGUUAAUACCUUGCUGUUUUGACGUUACCAACAGAAUAAGCACCGGCUAACUUCGUG